rnacentral:tRNA from 1 species
GUGAUGUAGCUCAGCGUGGUAGAGCACUCGGCUCGGGACCGAGCGGACGCUGGUUCGACCCCAGUCAUCAC